rnacentral:pre_miRNA from 11 species
UGACGAUGAUGAUGAUCAUGAUGACGAUGAUGAUGAUCAUGAUGACGAUAAUGAUGAUCAUGAUCAUAAUCAUCAUCACCAUCAUUACUGUUG